rnacentral:rRNA from 1 species
AUACGGAGGGUGCAAGCGUUAUUCGGAAUCACUGGGCGUAAAGGACGCGUAGGCGGGUUGGCAAGUCAGAUGUGAAAUCCUACAGCUUAACUGUAGAACUGCAUUUGAAACUGCUAGCCUAGAGUAUGGGAGGGGGAGAUGGAAUUAGUGGUGUAGGGGUAAAAUCCGUAGAUAUCACUAGGAAUACCGAAAGCGUAGGCGAUCUCCUGGAACAUAACUGACGCUAAGGCGUGAAAGCGUGGGGAGCAAACAGGAUUAGAAACCCUAGUAGUCC